GGAUGUGAGGGCAAUCUGGCUGUGACAUCUGUUACCCCAUUGAUCGCCAGUGUUGAUUCGGCUGAUCUGGCUGGCUAGGCGGGUGUCCCCUUCCACCCUCAAUGAUCCAUGUGCAUCCCUCCCAAAGCUGCAAGCUCAGUCGAAGAGGACGACCACCUCCGACAGAGGAGGACCGUUCCUCGGUCAAGGGUAUACGAGUAGCCGCGCUCCCCUGCUAGAACCUCCAAACAAGCUCUCAAGGUCCAUCUAUAAGAGAAGCAUGUUUUGAGUUUGAUCCCCAUAUUAAAAAAAAAAUCAAAGGCAAGUUACAGGUUACUU
rnacentral:snRNA from 1 species